CAAGAUCCCCACCCUUCCAUUUCGGUCCUCCUUCCGCGCGCCCGAGGAAGGGGCGUGGUCUAGAGCUAGUCCCCCUCGGGAUGGGCGUGGCCCGUCUGACCGAAUCUGCCAAAUUACAACGCUCUGUCCUCCCUACUUGGAAGGACCGUUAAAAUCGUUGGCAGGAGCGGACUUAGAGGGAGGCUGGUGGGGGGAGAUCCUGACCCCUUCCUUCUAUACUAAUGCGGCCCCUGGAGCCUUCACUUACAAGACAUCUACCUUGCGACUUCCUUUCUGGCAAGUUAUUAGUUGGGGGUGGGGCAGCACCCCACACGGAGUCUGGGUAAUGUCCGCCAAGGCCCGCCUCGCUCCUCCCAGAGCCGGGCGAGCAGCGUUCCCAUAGCAACCGGCCCGCCCGGGCCCGCUCGAGUUACAAAGAAGACGCGGCCUCCCGCGGGGGCAGCGCCGGGCCGGCGCAGGCGGAGCUCCCAGACCCGGCGGACUCUAAGCCAGCUAGCCAGAUUUUCGUUGCGAGAGCGCUGGGGCCCAGGCCUAGCCUAGGAGGUCCCUGAGUCCCCCACCCGCCCCUUAAUUCUCUGUGAAUCCUGUUUGCAAAGAGGGCUCUUUGCCAACGCCUGUCCUUGGCAGCGUUAGACCAGGCUCGGAGGCAGCGCUGCCUCGUGUUGCCCAAAAGUGGGAGAGAAGACAAAGCACUGAGUGGCCUUCCUGCGCACGGCUGUCAGUUCCGGACCGCCCUCCGUCACUCCUGCAAGAGCCCCACCCUGUCCCUGAGAGAAGGAGCAGACGGCCCAAAGCAUGCCUCUAGUCGUAGCCCUAGAUGCUUUCACUUGAAGGGGGCUGUCGAUGCACAUGUUGCCUAUUCAAAAACAACUUUUGGAAAUCUAAAACAAAAACUCAGUUCUUUUUCAAAGAUGCUCACCAUUUCAUGUCAUGGAUCCCGUAUCCUAAUUUCACCUGUUUCAAUCAAAGUGUGAACUUAACCUCUACAAGUGUACCUUUCCUGCAUCUAGACUCACUAGUCAUAGUUGAUGCUUCUCUCUACUCCUGGCUGCCUCAGCAACAACAGAAGCAAGAAAACAUGAGAAAAUGA
rnacentral:lncRNA from 1 species